rnacentral:pre_miRNA from 1 species
AAUAAGCGUAUUUUUUAUUGUUUACGUUAAACUUUCGAUUAUCCGUUUUAUCUAAAAAGUUAUGAUUAAUACUUUUAUUGUUAUGAGAUGCUAAAACCUAAAUAAUAUUUUAUGUGUAACUAUUUUAAAUUUUUUUAUAAAAUUUUUAAAUAAAACGAAUGGUCAAAUAUUAAUUACAUGAAAAUCUAUAUCAGAACGGAGG